AGACAGGAAAGGUUACUACGGGAAAUGCCGCUGUAACGUCAUCGAGAUUGCGUAAAGCAGCAUUGGAGUUGUAGUUUUCUAAUUAGUGUCCAGGCACCGCCGUUCAUACUUGUUAAACGCUCUGUGCAUGAGCAUGACUAUGAAGUAGGCUGAUAUCGACACAAAUGAAAUGGAAAAGUGUUUUAGGGACUUAAGGGGCACCAGUGUUUGGACCAGCACACUUCCCCCAAAACUGUGUCCUACAUCAUCAUCAGCAGGUC